rnacentral:rRNA from 1 species
AGCGGAAGCGAGAAUGUCGGCUUGAGUAACGCAAACAUUGGUGAGAAUCUAAUUCCCCAAAAACCUAAGGGUUCCUCUGCAAGGUUCGUCUACAAAGGGUGAGUCAGGGCCUAAGAUUAGGUCAAAAGGCGUCGUCGAUGGACAAUAGGUGAAUAUUCCUGUACUGCCCCUUGUUAGUCCCGAGGGACGGAGGAGGCUAGGUUAUCCAAAAGAUGGUUAUCGGUUCAAAAACGUAAGGUGUCCCUUAUUUUUCAGCGUAAGAAGGGGUAGAGAAAAUGUCUUUAGCCAAUGUUCGAAUACCAGGAGCUACGACGCUGAAGUAACCUAUGUCAUACUUCUAGGAAAAGCUCGAACGACGUUAAGCAAGAGGAUACUAGCACCCAAAACCAACACAGGUGGAUUGGUAGAGAAUACCUAGGGGCGGAACUCGGCAAAAUAGCCCCGUAACUUUGGGAGAAGGGGUGCCUCCUCACAAAGGGGGUCGUAGUGACCAGGCCCGGGCGACUGUUUACCAAAAGCCACGUCUCCGCAAAGUUGUAAGACCAUGUAUGGGGGUUGACGCCUGCCUAGUGCCGGAAGGUCAAGGAUGUUGGUGACCUGAUAAGAGGGAUCCGACGAUCGAAGCCUCGGUGAACGGUGGUCGUAACUAUAACGGUUCUAAGGUAGAGAAAUUCUUUGUCAUGUAAGUUUGACCUACACGAAAGGCGUAACGAUUUGGGCACUAUAUCGGAGAGAGGCUCGGUGAAAUAGACAUGUUUGUGAAGAUGGGGACUACCUGCACCUGGACAGAAAGGCCGUAUGAAGCUUCACUGUUCCCUAGGAUUCGCUUUGGGCCUUUCCUGCGCAGCUUAGGUGGAAGGCGAAGAAGGCCUCCUUCUGGAGGGCCCAAGCCAUCAGUAAGAUACCACUCUGGAAGAGCUAGAAUUCUAACCUUGUGUCAGGACCUACAGGCCAAGGGACAGUAUCAAGUAGAUUGUUUCUAUGGGGCGUAGGCCUCCCAAUAGAACGGAGGUGUGCAAAGGUUUUCUCGGGCCGGAUGGACAUUGGACUUCGAGUGCAAAGGCAGAAGGGAUCUUGACUGUAAGACCCACCCGUCAAGCAGGGACGAAAUUCGGCCUUAGUGAUCCGACGGUGCCGAGUGGAAGUGUCAUCGCUCAAUGGAUAAAAGUUACUCUAGGGAUAACAGGCUGAUCUUUCCCAAGAGCUCACAUCGACGAGAAGGUUUGGCACCUAGAUGUCGGCUAUUCGCCACCUAAGGCUGUAGUAUGUUCAAAGGCUUGGGCUGUUUGCCCAUUAAAGCGGUACGCGAGCUAGGUUUAGAACGUUGUGAGACAGUUCGGUCCAUAUUUGGUGUGGGCGUUAGAGCAUUGAGAGGACCUUUCCCUAGUAUGAGAGGAUCGGGAAAGAUGUACCUCUGGUGUACCAGUUAUCGUGCCCACGGUAAACGCUGGUUAGCCAAGUGCAGAGCGGAUAACUACUGAAAGCAUCUAAGUUGUAAGCCCACCCGAAAAUGAGUUCUCUCCUAUUCCGACUUCCCCAGAUCUUACGGUAGCACAACCGAGACAGCGAUGGGUUCUCUGCCCCUACGAGGAUGGAGCGACAGAAGUUUUUUUGAGAAAUCAAGAGAAGUUCAAAGCGAGAUGAGCCGUUUAUCAUUACGAUAGGUGUAAAGUGGAAGUGUAGUGAUGUAUGCAGCUGAGGCAUCCUAACAGACCGGUAGACUUGAACCU